GCCAUGGUUUCUUAGGUGAGCUUUGUACUCCACCUUUGUAUGGAAUUAUAUAUUCCUUAAAUUAUGGCUCUAUUUUUGUAACGAUUAUGCAAUUGCUUAGUUUUGUGUCAAAUAUAAACCGUCUCUUCGUGUCUCUAAUGAUUAUGCAAUUUUUUAGUUUUGAUGGGAUCAAAUAAUGUGUUCCUCUAGUUGAUCCUUGGCUGUUACAGUCUAAAAUGAGUGGU
rnacentral:misc_RNA from 1 species